UGCCUGGUGGUGUAACGGUAGCACAAGAGACUCUGGAUCUCUUUGUCUAGGUUCGAAUCCUAGCCAGGCAGCCA
rnacentral:tRNA from 1 species